rnacentral:lncRNA from 1 species
UUAACCCCUUUGAGCUUAAACAGUUGAAUCUCAGCUUGAAAUAAAGCGAGAUGUCAAAAAUCUUUUUUCUUGAAACCCGAAAAUUUUUUAUAAUUGUUCUUUUGCCGUAAAAAGUCAAGAGCAUUCACUUAGGGUGAGUAAGAAAUAAGUUGGGGAGAACGAAAAUGAAAAUCGGUAAGUGCCACAACUCUUGAAAAACCGAGCAAGCAUUAAAAAAAAUAAAAAAAUUAGAAAAGAGAAACAUCUGUUUUGUGAAUACAAUGUGAAAAGAAAAGAAAAAAAAUAGAGAAAAUGAAAAUGAAUGCUUGCUUGGAAGAAAAAUAGUGAAAAACAAAAAUUGAGUUGUGAAAUAAGAGUUGUGAAGGUUUCAAAUGAGAAACAAAUGG